AGAGUUUGAUCCUGGCUCAGAACGAACGCUGGCGGCGUGCUUAACACAUGCAAGUCGCGUGCGCAGUUUCCGUAGCAAUACGGGGAUGGGCGCACGGCGCACGGGUGCGUAACACGUGGGCAAUCUGCCCUCCGAUGGGGAAUACCCCCGCGAAAGCGGGACUAAUUCCGCAUAACAUUCCUUGGAUUAAUUUUCGAGGAUUCAAAGCAGCAAUGCGUCGGAGGAGGAGCCCGCGCCCGAUUAGCUAGUUGGUGAGGUAACGGCUCACCAAGGCAAUGAUCGGUAGCUGGUCUGAGAGGAUGGCCAGCCACACUGGAACUGAGACACGGUCCAGACUCCUACGGGAGGCAGCAGUGGGGAAUCUUGCACAAUGGGCGAAAGCCUGAUGCAGCGACGCCGCGUGGGGGAUGAAGCUUCUCGGAGUGUAAACCCCUUUCGACUGGGACGAAUGCCUCGCAAGAGGAGUGACGGUACCAGUAUAAGAAGCCCCGGCUAACUACGUGCCAGCAGCCGCGGUAAGACGUAGGGGGCCAGCGUUGUUCGGAAUUACUGGGUGUAAAGGGUUCGUAGGCGGUGUGGCAAGUCGGGAGUGAAAUCUCUGGGCUCAACCCAGAGACUGCUUCCGAAACUGCUGUGCUUGAGUGUGAGAGAGGCUCGUGGAAUUGCAGGUGUAGCGGUGAAAUGCGUAGAUAUCUGCAGGAACACCCGUGGCGAAAGCGGCGAGCUGGAUCACUACUGACGCUGAGGAACGAAAGCUAGGGGAGCAAACAGGAUUAGAUACCCUAGUAGUCC
rnacentral:rRNA from 1 species